rnacentral:rRNA from 1 species
UACGAAGGGGGCUAGCGUUGUUCGGAAUUACUGGGCGUAAAGCGCACGUAGGCGGAUAUUUAAGUCAGGGGUGAAAUCCCAGAGCUCAACUCUGGAACUGCCUUUGAUACUGGGUAUCUUGAGUAUGGAAGAGGUAAGUGGAAUUGCGAGUGUAGAGGUGAAAUUCGUAGAUAUUCGCAGGAACACCAGUGGCGAAGGCGGCUUACUGGUCCAU